UACAGAGGUCUCAAGCGUUGUUCGGAUUCAUUGGGCGUAAAGGGUGCGUAGGCGGCCUGGUAGGUCUGCUGUGAAAACUCGAGGCUCAACCUCGAGAUGUCGGCGGAAACCAUCUGGCUAGAGUCCGGAAGAGGAGAGUGGAAUUCCUGGUGUAGCGGUGAAAUGCGCAGAUAUCAGGAAGAACACCUAUGGCGAAGGCAGCUCUCUGGGACGGUACUGACGCUGAGACGCGAAAGCGUGGGGAGCGAACAGG
rnacentral:rRNA from 1 species